GUGUCAGCAGCCGCGGUAAGACGUAGGGUGCAAGCGUUGUCCGGAUUUAUUGGGCGUAAAGAGCUCGUAGGCGGCUUGUUGCGUCGACCGUGAAAACCUGUGGCUUAACCACAGGCCUGCGGUCGAUACGGGCAGGCUGGAGUUCGGUAGGGGAGACUGGAAUUCCUGGUGUAGCGGUGAAAUGCGCAGAUAUCAGGAGGAACACCGGUGGCGAAGGCGGGUCUCUGGGCCGAUACUGACGCUGAGGAGCGAAAGCGUGGGGAGCGAACAGGAUUAGAAACCCCCGUAGUCC
rnacentral:rRNA from 1 species